rnacentral:misc_RNA from 1 species
GAUGAAGAACGUAGCGAAAUGCGAUAAGUAAUGUGAAUUGCAGAAUUCAGUGAAUCAUCGAAUCUUUGAACGCACAUUGCGCCCUCCAGUAUUCUGGCGGGCAUGCCUGUCUGAGCGUCAUUUCAACCCUCAUGCCCCUAGGGCGUGGUGUUGGGGAUCGGCCAAAGCCCGCGAGGGACGGCCGGCCCCUAAAUCUAGUGGCGGACCCGUCGUGGCCUCCUCUGCGAAGUAGUGAUAUUCCGCAUCGGAGAGCGAUGAGCCCCUGCCGUUAAACCCCCAACUUUCCAAGGUUGACCUCAGAUCAGGUAGGAAUACCCGCUGAACUUAAGCAUAUCAAUAAGCGGAGGA